UUAUUGUUAGCAUGUCAUGGGCCGUCUAUGUUUCUUGAACAGGUGCGAGGUUCGUGGUUUUGCAAUAAU
rnacentral:tRNA from 1 species